CCUACGGGUGGCUGCAGUGAGGAAUAUUGGUCAAUGGACGAGAGUCUGAACCAGCCAAGUAGCGUGAAGGAUGACUGCCCUAUGGGUUGUAAACUUCUUUUAUAUGGGAAUAAAACGUUCCACGUGUGGGAUUUUGUAUGUACCAUAUUAAUAAGGAUCGGCUAACUCCGUGCCAGCAGCCGCGGUAAUACGGAGGAUCCGAGCGUUAUCCGGAUUUAUUGGGAUUAAAGGGAGCGUAGGUGGAUUGUUAAGUCAGUUGUGAAAGUUUGCGGCUCAACCGUAAAAUUGCAGUUGAAACUGGCAGUCUUGAGUACAGUAGAGGUGGGCGGAAGUCGUGGUGUAGCGGUGAAAUGCUUAGAUAUCACGAAGAACUCCGAUUGCGAAGGCAGUUCACUGGACUGCAACUGACACUGAGGCUCGAAAGUGUGGGUAUCAAACAGGAUUAGAUACCCCAGUAGUC
rnacentral:rRNA from 1 species